AGGCAUAUGAAAGUUCCCAGGAUAGGGGUAGAAUCAGCUGCCAGCCUACACCACAGCACAACAAUGCCAGAUCCAAGCCAUGUCGGUACCUACACCAAGGCUCACGGCAAUGUUGGAUCCCUAAUCCACUGAACGGGGCCAGAGAUCAAACCCACAACUUCAUGGGUACUAGUCAGGUUCAUUACCACUGAUCCCCAACAGGAACUCCAGAGCCACAGCUUUCUGCUAGAGGAAACCUGUGCCCUGAGGCCUCUCCUGCAGGCCAAUCCUUUCCUUCAUCACAGCACAAUCUAAACAUGAUAAGUGGGGAAUGAGGAAUAAUGACAUAUUUGAAAGGCUGACAUGGAGAGUUCCCAUUGUGGCUCAGUGGUAAUGAAACCAACUAGUAUCCAUGAGGACUUGAGUUCAAUUCCUGGCCUCAAUCAUUGGGUUAAGGAUCCCGCAUUGCCAUGAGCUGCAGUGUAGGUUACAGAUGCAACUCAGAUCUGGUUUUGCUGUGGCUGUGGUGUAGGCCAGCAGCUACAGCUGAUCUGACCCCUAGCCUGGGAACUUAUGUAUGCCACAGGUGCAGCUCUAAAAAAAAUUGUUUUUUAAUUUUUAAAAAUUAAAAAAAAAAAGCUGGCAUGAGGCUCUGACACGUGGGCGCAUAGCAAGUGCCCACAAGCGGCCUGGCACAUUGAGGAACUUGGUUCAGGGAAGCCCCAGCCUUCCCUACCCCCACCCUGGGGGGUGUUUAUGCCCAAGUGAGCACAGAACUGCAGAGAGGCAGCUCAGAGGGAACAGAUGGCCCAGGUCUAAGAGGCUUAUCCUUCAGUAAAUUUUCCUUCUAAUCUGAUUCUCCUGGCAAGGUGAGAAGCCCCUCCCCACAUCAUCCUACAGCCAAGUCUGAGAAUGCCAGGCCCGCCAGGUGUAGCAGUUCUCUGGCAUCGGGCAAUGGGGACAGUGGUCCCAGAGCAAACCUGAAAUCUUCACCUUGUUGUAGGACAGACCUUUCCCUUCCUUCCAGAAACUUCACCCAUGGGUUCACCCUCUUACUCCCUCACUCAUUCCCAGGGUAGGUAGUAUCAGAUGGUGCUAGUUCUGAGGCUCAGAGAUGAGCAAAUACAGUCCUUGCAGGCUGAGAGGUCAUCAUUGCCUGAAAAGUUGUCAGGUAAGAACAGAGGGCUGGGCAUGAGAUCAGGAGUGAAAAAAUGAGAAGCUGAUGCUUGCACUGAGUUAAUGGAGGAGUUCCAGCUGGAGAGGGAGGGGUGUGUGUAUGUGUUUGUGUGUGUGUGUGUUGUGGUGAAACAGGGGUGAAGAGUUGAAUAUUUGAGAAGAAUCUCGUAACUGCGCAGCAAGAUUGGGGGACAGGAGCUCCUGCUGUGGUGCAAUGGGAUUGGUGGCGUCUUGGGAGCACUGGGACUCAAGUUCAAUCCCUGGCCUGGCACAGUAGGUUAAGGAUCCUGCAUUGCUGCAGCUUCUGGGACGGAGAGAGCCCAGAGAUAAAUGUUACCAGAUAUUUAGAAUUUAUCCUGAGGACAAUGGAAAGCCAGAGCUUUGUGUGAGCAGGAGCGAAUGCAGGGGGGCCAUCAGGAGGAGAUGGAAUGAGCUGGGCAGGGAGAGUCUUAUGAACAAGGCUAUUCCAAGGCUGUUGGGGACCCUAAGAGGUUACGAGAAAACCCAAACACCUGGAAGUGACCCUGUGUUAUAAAAGUGGAAUAUUCUGUUGCCUUAAUUUAUUCCUUGAAGAAUCUAAACAUAUUGGCAAGUUCCAAUAGCGUCACUAGAGAAAGCAUCCAGUCUCCAUGGCAACUAAAGGGGCCCCUGCUGCCUGACUGGCUGGGAACCCUGGGGCAUCUGACAGUGCAAGGCUUUCCAAACAGACUUGGGCUCAAACGAUGGCUCUGUCGCAUGCCCACUGUGUGACAUCAGGGAGGUCAGAUGGUAGGAGAAAAUGUCCCAAUAAAAAGGUAGGAAAUAGAGACCCCGGCCAUGAUGACUAAGCAAAGUCCAGCCAACUGCCCCAACCACCCCUCCCCCACAUAUAUGCUUCUGUAACGUUUGUUGCUUCCACAAUUACAACCCUGCCUGUUCUCACUCCCAUCCAACCAGCCAAGCAUGGACCCAGAAGGGCUAGCCUAUAAAAGCCUUGUGAAACCCUUCCUCAGGGCUCAGACUCUGGAGAGUGAUCUCCUCUGAGCCUGCUGGCGUAAUAAACCUGAGUUCUUCAACUCUCCAAGUGCUCACUUGGUUUCUCGCCAGGUAAAAGAGACGCUGGAGUUGAUACACUGCAGCCACAGGGCUGCUGCUAGAGCUGACACACUGCAGCCAUGGGACUGCAGGCAGCUGCUGUAACAAGAUGACUUCUCAGAGCCUCAGUUUCCCAUCUGGAAAACGAGGCCACCACGCCUAUCACAGAGGGCUGUUAGGGAGGGGAAAUGAGGAAAUAAGAAAAGGCUUGCUCUGAAAUAGAAGCCAAAGAGUCAUCAUGGAUCUGCUUCCACCGAAUUAAAUGGAUCCAGGCCUCCUCCCCUCUCCACUCCUGUUCAAGACAAGGGCCUCCAGGACCAGUUUCAUCCCCAGCGAUCACAGAACCUCCACUGGGCACCACACACAAUUUACAGCCCUGUGUGCCCACUCAUUCUGCUGAUUCAUUGCCAAGCUUAUCUCUGGGCAAACUGUCCAGGGUAAACCAGUUUCUGGGGCCCUGCUGUGGUCAUGUCCCUGCUGGUUAAUGUUCAUGCGGGACCCCACACGUGACUCCCCCAACUGACUCUGCAGACAAUGGCCCUGCUGUGGAAGCCUCAUAAAACUUCUAGGAUAUGGGUGUGUCCAGCUACCUAGUCUGGUCUCCCAAGUGGUGGCUGGACCUUGCCUGUUUACAAGCAGCCUGGUCACAUGUGGCCAGCUCCAGAGGCAGCUGGCAGGCUUGUUAUCAACAGCUUCAUCUCUGGAAGAGGUCUUUCGCUUAUCUGCUGUUUAAUCUAUCACACUGCCCUGCCCUCAGGCCUUGCAAAGUACAAACAAGAGGGUGGGAAGCGUCAAAUUACAAGAUAGCAGAACUGAAGAGAUCCUUUUCCACACUGAAAUACAACCAUUUUGCUUGCUCAAUUCAAUGUUUAAAUACGCUAUGGAUAUGUGUGUAGCAGUCGCACCACUCCCUAUUGCAUAUCCCUCAGCCAUCUGACACAGUUCCACAUCCUGCCUGGCUCAGCAGGCAUUUCAGUGUAUACCCCUUGGCUAUUCCAGUCUAUAGGUUCAUGGAUGGAUGGAGGAUGAGGGAGCAUGUCAAUGGCCUGCAGAAGGUCAGUCGUUGACUAGGACUUAGGACACAAUCUUAAUUCAUUCACUCAGUCAUUCAGCCAAUCAACAACUGUUCAUUAGGACCCACUGUGGGACAGGUCUGAUAAGGAUACUGAAGCAACCUAUUCACGAAACAUGGUCUCUCCCCUAAAUGGUUCAUGACAUUUUUGUGGGAGACACCAAAGCAGAGAGAUUACAGCACUAAGCUCUCCUAAGGGCCCUGUCAAGGUCCCAAUAGGGAGCACUUCUGUUUGGUGCAGAAACAUGCCAGAAGAAAAAAAACUUUCUGGAGAAGAUAUUAUUUGGUGUGUCCCCUACCCAGGUGGAGCCAUGGGCCAGGCUGAAAUAGCAAAGGAGACUACUAUGGGGUAAAAAGAGGCAAUGGCAGGGCUGGAGUUUUGCCCACCUGUGUGAAUGCCACAGUGACCAAGAGCCAGCAUUACAACACAGAAAUCCCAGACAAUGGGUACUAGUCCCAGGUAUAUGGGGAUGGGGGAAUAAGUGGCAUCCCCAGGCUCCUACAGAGUCCCUCAGGGGAACAGGAAGGGCCUUAGACAGAUAAGAGGAGGAAUCCCAUCUCCAUGUCAGAGAAAUCUGAGGCAGCCACCCUAUACCUGGCCUGGACACAGCCAGGGGACAGGGAUGGCCAUAUUUCAGAGGUGAUAGUGUCUAGGACUCCCCAGCCCCACAGUUGAGCUACUAACCCCACAGCCCAUCACUGUGGGGAGGGACUCCCAAAUUCCAGCUAGGUGGGUACACUUGGCCCAGACUUUAGGACCUCAACUGGGCUGGGAUAGGUGGAGCCUCACAGUCCUGUCCAGAAAGGGUACAUCCCCCAAACCUAUGCCUUCAUGUGCAGUACCAGAUCCUAUCCUGGAUCACAGCUUCCCUGUCAUAAGAAGUUAUUUUAUUGGACUUGGCAACUGCACAGAGCAGCUUGGGAUGCUGAGUACCAGGGCAGACAUCAGUGUGCCAGACCGUCUCAUCCCAGACAUGUGGGGCAGAAGCAGGGUGCUGGAGACCUUCCCUGUCCGCCUCCUAGAUCAGCAUCAUUAGGGAGAUGAGCCUGAAAGCGGGCACCUGCUGCUCAGCACAGCCUCAGCACCAGAAGGAACUCAGAGAGUUCUGUGCCCAACCUCUCCUGGUGCAGGUGUGCAUAUAUGACCUCGGCAUGCAUGUUUACGUGAGGACACAUAAGCCAUUCAUUGGUAUAUAAUUGUGCACGAUGGAUCUGCAAAUGGGACUAGAACUCAGAUGUGUCUUUGGGAAGCUGUGUGAAUGUGCAUGUGUGUGUGUACAUGGGCAAGGCACUGUGGGUUAGCACACUCAAGUAGAUCAGGGUUGAGCAAAGAGGUCAUAAGAGCCUAGGUUGGCAUAUUGGCAGAUGGGGCUAGAAUACACCUGCCCAGGCUGGCAGCUGCCACUCAAAUUCCCACUUCCUAACCACUGGACCAU
ensembl:lncRNA